GAACGCGAAGAACCUUACCUGGUCUUGACAUGUACGGAAUCCUCCAGAGACGGAGGAGUGCCUUCGGGAGCCGUAACACAGGUGCCGCAUGGCUGUCGUCAGCUCGUGUCGUGAGAUGUUGGGUUAAGUCCCGCAACGAGCGCAACCCUUGUCAUUAGUUGCCAUCAUUCAGUUGGGCACUCUAAUGAGACUGCCGGUGACAAGCCGGGGGAAGGUGGGGAUGACGUCAAGUCCUCAUGGCCCUUAUGACCAGGGCUUCACACGUCAUACAAUGGUCGGUACAGAGGGUAGCCAAGCCGCGAGGUGGAGCCAAUCUUACAAAACCGAUCGUAGUCCGGAUUGCACUCUGCAACUCGAGUGCAUGAAGUCGGAAUCGCUAGUAAUCGCAGGUCAGCAUACUGCGGUGAAUACGUUCCCGGGUCUUGUACACACC
rnacentral:rRNA from 1 species